UCUCAUCUAUCUCACACAUUAUCUAUCUCACAUAUUGAACCCAUUGUCUAUUUAUCCAAUUUUGAAUAGUAAAUGUACUAUAUCACAAAUUAAGUUUUGAAAAUGUACUAUAAUGCUAAUUUUCCCUAAAAUCAUAAAAAAAAAAAAAAAAAAAAAAAAAGACUACACAAUAAAAGCCUUUACACAUAGUCUUCAUUUUC
rnacentral:lncRNA from 1 species